UACGAAGGACCCGAGCGUUAUCCGGAUUUAUUGGGUUUAAAGGGUGCGUAGGCGGAUUUACAAGUCAGUGGUGAAAUCUCCCAGCUUAACUGGGAAACUGCCAUUGAAACUGUUUAUCUUGAGUACAUUUGAGGCGGGCGGAAUGUGUCAUGUAGAGGUGAAAUUCUUAGAUAUGACACAGAACACCAAUUGCGAAGGCAGCUCGCUAAACUGUAACUGACGCUGAGGCACGAAAGCGUGGGGAUCAAACAGGAUUAGAUACCCUGGUAGUCCACGCCCUAAACGAUGAUUACUCGAAGUGUGCGAUACACUGCACGCCUCUGAGCGAAAGCAUUAAGUAAUCCACCUGGGAAGUACGACCGCAAGGUUGAA
rnacentral:rRNA from 1 species